rnacentral:misc_RNA from 1 species
CAAGUUCCGAAUUUGGAUAAUGCUCCGAUAAAUCUGAAAUCUUUAAGAGAUCAAUCGCAGAAAGAGUUGAUUACGAUUUUGAAGAACAUUAGAGGGAAAAAGUGUUUGGUGAUUGAUCCUAAGCUUGGAGGUUCACUCUCGCUUAUUGUACAGAGCUCACUCCUCAAGGAGCAUGGGGCUGAAUUGCGACAUCUUAAUGCGGAACCAGUUCAAACUGAUUGCACAAAAGUAGUCUAUCUAGUCCGAGCCCAGCUUGACUUGAUGAAGUUCAUUUGCUCACACAUCCAUCAUGAUAUUUCUAAAGGGAUUCAAAGGGAGUAUUUUGUUUAUUUUGUCCCUCGUCGUGCAGUUGUAUGUGAGAAGAUACUCGAGGAAGAAAAAAUUCAUCACUUGUUAACUAUAGGCGAGUAUCCCCUUUAUCUGAUUCCGCUGGAUGAGGAUGUAUUAUCCUUUGAACUUGAUGUUGCUUACAAAGAGCACCUAGUUGAUGGUGACACUACCUCCCUGUGGCACAUAGCAAAAGCUAUCCACAAACUUGAGUUUUCCUUUGGACUUAUUCCAAAUGUGAGGGCCAAAGGGAAAGCAUCAGUUCGUGUGGCUGACAUUUUAAAUCGGAUGCAGUCGGAAGAACCAGUGAACACAUCUGAGCAGACGGGUGUGCCUGAAAUAAAUACUAUCAUACUUUUGGACA